rnacentral:rRNA from 1 species
UACGAAGGGGGCUAGCGUUGCUCGGAAUCACUGGGCGUAAAGCGCACGUAGGCGGCUUCUUAAGUCAGGGGUGAAAUCCUGGAGCUCAACUCCAGAACUGCCUUUGAUACUGGGAAGCUUCGAGUCCGGAAGAGGUGAGUGGAACUGCGAGUGUAGAGGUGAAAUUCGUAGAUAUUCGCAAGAACACCAGUGGCGAAGGCGGCUCACUGGUCCGGUACUGACGCUGAGGUGCGAAAGCGUGGGGAGCGAACAGG